rnacentral:rRNA from 1 species
GAUGAACGCUGGCGGCGUGCUUAACGCAUGCAAGUCGAACGAUGAAGCCCAGCUUGCUGGGUGGAUUAGUGGCGAACGGGUGAGUAACACGUGAGUAACCUGCCCUUAACUCUGGGAUAAGCCUGGGAAACUGGGUCUAAUACCGGAUAGGAGCGUCCACCGCAUGGUGGGUGUUGGAAAGAUUUAUCGGUUUUGGAUGGACUCGCGGCCUAUCAGCUUGUUGGUGAGGUAAUGGCUCACCAAGGCGACGACGGGUAGCCGGCCUGAGAGGGUGACCGGCCACACUGGGACUGAGACACGGCCCAGACUCCUACGGGAGGCAGCAGUGGGGAAUAUUGCACAAUGGGCGAAAGCCUGAUGCAGCGACGCCGCGUGAGGGAUGACGGCCUUCGGGUUGUAAACCUCUUUCAGUAGGGAAGAAGCGAAAGUGACGGUACCUGCAGAAGAAGCACCGGCUAACUACGUG